AAAAGCAGCUCUUCUUGACAAAAAUGGAAAGAAACAUCCUCAAGUUUCAGUGCUCAAUAUAUUUUCCGAUCAAGACUACAAGAGAUCAGUCAUUACAAUAGCAACUUCUGUUGAUAAGUUGGGCCUUGCUGAGGAUCUGGUGCUGCAUGUUCCUGGCUGCAGCGUGUUUCUCUUUGGCGAAGCUGACCUGCCUGAGAAGCGCAGUCUUGUGCAGAGAAGGAAGCAGCUGGGCUGGUUCACGAGGAGGGAUUUCAGUGCUCUUCAGCCUGACCUGGGAGCUGCCCCUUCCCAAAGAUGUGGUUUAACAGAGACGAGGUCUCACUAUGUUGCCCUGGCUAGUCUCCAAUUCUUGCUGUCUCGCGAGCCUCCCAUCUUGGCCUCCCAAAGUCCUGGGAUUACAGGGAUGAGCUACCAUGUCCAGCCCCAGAUCCAACUCUAAGAAAACACAGUCCAUCAGUCACUGAAGAGCACGUCAGUGUAUCCGUCUCUCCCUGUGUGAAUCCUGUUACUUGGACUUGUGUAGAGGUUGCAGUUUCAUCUUUCGUGUAGUAAUGACUGGCAUCAAUUUAUAUCGAUACAAUGAAAAAUUCUAAAGAACACUUUGUGGUAGAGAAAUAAAGGAGAUCUCGUCUUUGAAGAUGCAGAAUAUGGCAAGUAACUUUCCAGUAAAUCAUUCUAUUUUAGUGGAGGAGUUUUGAAGGAAGAUAAGCCCUGAGUUUCCUGAUUAUGUAUAAUUCAAAAAUAGAUAUUCAAAAGUCUCAGAGAUAACAUUCUUCUGUAUAGAUAGAAGAGUUUGCUUUGUCUAUAGAUCCCAUUGUACAGCUUGAAGAAGAGAAGAAUUAUUUUCUCAAAAUCUCAAAAAUCAUAUUUCUGCAAUUUUCUCAAUCUCAGAAUCACAUCUAAUUUCUGAUCAAAUUGGCAACACUCUCUAGUUCUAAGUGUUCAGUUCAUCUGGAAAGAACUUGGUGCAAUUUGUGUAAUUACUUUACAGCUAUCUGCAAAACAAACUGUGGGAGUCACGUCUCUGUCGAUGAAUGUAUAGAUUCAGGUCACUAGAACAUAAUCCUGAAACUGACAUUCUCUGUAAGAUUUUUCUCCUCUUUCGGUUCUCCUUUUUUUUUUUUUUUUUUUUUUUUUUUUGAGAAAGGGUUUCUCUCUGUCACCCAGGCUGGAAUGUAGUUGCACAAUCACGACUCACUGCAGUCUUGACCUCCUGGGCUCAGGUGAUCCUCCCACCUCCCUCCCAAGUCGCUGAGAAUACAGGUGUGUGCCACUACACCCAGCUAAUUUUUGUAUUUUUUGUAGAGAUGGGUUUUCGCCAUGUUUCCCAGCCUGUCUCCUUUCCUUUUUAUGAUUGAAUCCUUUUGAAAAGAAUGUUGUUUUGUUAUAAAAUUUUAAUAAAUGAAGAAUUUAUUUUGGUGUUAAAAUCUUAAACCCUAUUAGAUGGUACCAUAAGGGUUUGUAUUCUACUCAGGAUAUGUCCAAGGAAAUGAUAGGAUUUGUUUGCAUAAGAUGGUAACAAUAUCUUAUCUUUUGAGGCUAAUCUUUAAAACCCAAGAGUAUGUGUUAAUUGUUGGGUUGUCCUUUUUCUUCUAUAGCAUCAAAAUAUUAUAUAAGUUAUUGUUAAUAAUUUUCAAUGAAUUCUUUAUGAUUUAAAUAAAAAUCAUUCUUAUUGGGCUCAUAUGUUUUAC
rnacentral:lncRNA from 1 species